rnacentral:tRNA from 1 species
GUGAUGGCCUGCUCAAUGGCGCGAGCUAGGGACUGGAAAUCCUGAGCCUCCCCGGCGUUUGCGGGUUCAAAUCCCGUCCAUCACCCCA